AUUGACCGCUGGCGGCAGGCCUAACACAUGCAAGUCGAACGAGUGGCGGACGGGUGAGUAAUGUCUGGGAAACUGCCUGAUGGAGGGGGAUAACUACUGGAAACGGUAGCUAAUACCGCAUACCAUCGGAUGUGCCCAGAUGGGAUUAGCUAGUAGGUGGGGUAAAGGCUCACCUAGGCGACGCUCCCUAGCUGGUCUGAGAGGAUGACCAGCCACACUGGAACGGGGACACGGUCCAGACUCCUACGGGAGGCAGCAGUGGGGAAGAUGGCACAAGGGGAGCAAGCCUGAGGCAGCCAUGCCGCGUGUAGGAAGAAGGCCUUCGGGUUGUAAAGUACUUUCAGCGGGGAGGCGGUACCCGAAGAAGAAGCACCGGCUAACUCCGUGCCAGCAGCCGCGGUAAUAC
rnacentral:rRNA from 1 species